rnacentral:rRNA from 1 species
AUGCGUCGCACCGAUGGCCAAAAUCGGGAUCGCAUCGUUCACACGCGGCAGUCCACCAUCUCACGCUCUACACUACAAACCGCAGGCUUGAGCUGCUCGCACAAGAGACGAGGCGCAGCGGACGCCGCAAGCAUCGCACGGACACUCGCCAUGGCCCCUCGCCGCUUUCUCCUCCUCCUACCAAUCCUCCUUGUCCUCCUCGGCGCCGAUGGCUUCGGCCGUGGCGCGGCGCAGGCCGGCGACCAGUUCGCCUACAACGGCUUCGCGGGCGCCAACCUCAGGCUCGACGGCCUGGCCGCCGUGGCGCCCAACGGCCUGCUGGCGCUCAGCAACGGCACCAGCCAGGCGGCCGGCCACGCGUUCCACCCGACGCCGCUCCGGAUGCGCAACGGCGCCGUGCAGUCCUUCUCCGUCGCGUUCGUCUUCGCCAUCGUCUCCAACUUCACCGUGCUCAGCGACAACGGCAUGGCGUUCGUGGUCGCGCCCAGCACCAGGCUCUCCACCUUCAACGCCGGCCAGUACCUCGGCAUCCUCAACGUCACCGACAACGGCAAGCCCGACAACGGCGUCUUCGCCGUCGAGCUCGACACCAUGCUCAACCCCGAGUUCCAGGACAUGAACAGCAACCACGUCGGCGUCGACCUCAACAGCCUGCGGUCCGUGCAGAACCACUCCGCUGGGUGGUACGACGACGCCACGGGCGUGUUCAACAACCUCAGCCUCAUCAGCCGCCGGCCCAUGCAGGUCUGGGUGGACUACGACGGCGCCACCACCCGGCUCGACGUCGCCAUGGCGCCCCUCGACGUGCCCAGGCCCAAGAAGCCCCUCAUCUCCGCGCCCGUCAACCUCUCGGCGGUCGUCACCGACACGGCGUACGUCGGGUUCUCGGCGGCCACGGGCGUCAUCUUCACGCGCCACUACGUCCUCGGCUGGAGCUUCGCGCUCAACGGCCCGGCGCCGCCGCUCGACACCUCGAAGCUCCCGUCGCUGCCGCGGUUCGGCCCCAAGCCACGGUCCAAGGUGCUGGAGAUCGUGCUGCCGAUCGCCACCGCCGCCUUCGUCCUCGCGCUGGCCAUCGCCUUCUUCAUGUUCGUGCGCACGCGCAUCAGGUACGCGGAGGUGCGCGAGGACUGGGAGGUGGAGUUCGGGCCGCACCGGUUCGCGUACAAGGAGCUGUACAAGGCCACCAAGGGGUUCAAGAACCGGCGGCUGCUGGGCACCGGCGGCUUCGGUAGGGUGUACAAGGGCGUGCUCCCCAAGUCCAACCUGGAGAUCGCGGUGAAGCGGGUGUCGCACGACUCCAAGCAGGGGAUGAAGGAGUUCAUCGCCGAGGUGGUCAGCCUCGGCCACCUCCGGCACCGGAACCUGGUGCAGCUGCUCGGCUACUGCCGCCGGCAGGGGGAGCUCCUGCUGGUGUACGACUGCAUGCCCAACGGCAGCCUCGACAAGUACCUCCACGACAAGACCAAGCCCGUCCUGGACUGGAGCCAGAGGUUCCAGAUCAUCAGGGGCGUUGCGUCGGGGCUGCUGUACCUCCACGAGGACUGGGACAAGAUCGUGAUCCACCGCGACAUCAAGGCCAGCAACGUGCUCCUGGACGCCGACAUGAACGGCCGGCUGGGGGACUUCGGGCUGGCGCGGCUGUACGACCACGGCGUGGACCCGCAGACGACGCACGUGGUGGGCACCAUGGGGUACCUGGCGCCGGAGCUGGUGCGCACGGGCAAGGCGACGCCGGUGACGGACGUGUUCGCCUUCGGCGUGUUCGUGCUGGAGGUGACAUGCGGGCGGCGCCCGCUGGGGUGCAUCGCCCCCGACGAGCAGAACGUGCUGCUGGACUGGGUGCAGGAGCACGAGCGCCGGCGCGCGGGGCUCGACACCGUGGACCCGCGGCUGUGCGGCAAGUACGACGCCGACGAGGCGCGGCUGGCGAUCAAGCUGGGGCUGAUGUGCGCGCACCCGCUGCCGGACGCGCGGCCCGGGAUGCGGCAGGUGACGCAGUACCUGGAAGGCGAGGUGGCCAUGCCGGAGGUGGUGCCGACGUUCCUCAGCUACACCACCCUGGCGCUGAUGCAGAACGACGGGUUCGACUCGUUCGCCAUGUCAUUCCCGUCCACGGUCACCACGGACGCCAGCCCCACGUCCGGCGACGUCUCGGCCGUCUCCGGCCUCUCGGGUGGAAGGUGA